rnacentral:rRNA from 1 species
AACGAACGCUGGCGGCAGGCCUAACACAUGCAAGUCGAGCGAAGCCUUCGGGCUUAGCGGCGGACGGGUGAGUAACGCGUGGGAACGUGCCCUUUGGUACGGAAUAGCCCCGGGAAACUGGGAGUAAUACCGUAUGUGGUCGAGAGACGAAAGAUUUAUCGCCAAAGGAUCGGCCCGCGUUGGAUUAGGUAGUUGGUGGGGUAAUGGCCUACCAAGCCGACGAUCCAUAGCUGGUUUGAGAGGAUGAUCAGCCACACUGGGACUGAGACACGGCCCAGACUCCUACGGGAGGCAGCAGUGGGGAAUUUUAGACAAUGGGGGAAACCCUGAUCUAGCCAUGCCGCGUGAUCGAUGAAGGCCUUAGGGUUGUAAAGAUCUUUCAGUGGGGAAGAUAAUGACUGUACCCACAGAAGAAGCCCCGGCUGACUCCGUGCCAGCAGCCGCGGUAACAC